UAGAUACUCCCUCCGUCCGAAAAUACUUGUCAUCAAAAUGGAUAAAAAGGGAUGUAUCUAGAACUAAAAUACAUCUAGAUACAUCUCCUUUUAUCCAUUUUGAUGACAAGUAUUUCCGGACGGAGGGAGUACAAU
rnacentral:pre_miRNA from 1 species